AAGGAUCUCUAUCUGGAGAUCACCCCUCUUAGAGCACUUCUGCAAGCCCAGGACAUGGAGGUCAACUUAGAGCGGGAAAUCAUCAUCUGUUAGAAAGGCAGCAGAAAGAUACACAAAACAAGUGAAUGCUACUGCAGAUCUCCCUACUCUUCUGGUGUGUCCUGUCAAACUUCCAAAACAACUACAACUGUGUAUGCUGGACAGAGAAAAUAUGGUAUGGGAACAAACAAAUGAAGCAUAAAUAUCUAGCCAUGUACCGUCCAACAGUUUUAAUUUUGUCUUUCAUUGCAGUAGCAUGAAAUAACAUUUAAAACGCAGUAAGGAUAUAUGUGCCUGGAUAUAAAUAAAUGCAUUUUCAUCUCUCCUUGUACAGCAAGGUUUUAACUCGUUAUGAGAAAACAGUACGUCUCUUUUGACAUGAAUGCCAUAAGGUUCACUGUCAAUUUGAUCAAUUAUAGCAGCAGGUUACACAGUUAUAAACAGUGACUCCUGACAACAUGUUCAUCACCCUUGAACUUCAAAAAAUUAAUCUUAUUAGCAAAGUGAGGUCCAUCAUCAUCAAAAUAACUCUUUCCAGGUUAAAAAGAACUUACCCACUCUUCUGUCCUAACACGUUUGGGUUUCUUGGCCAAGCAUGAAGCCAAUUCCAGAAGAAAAGACUGUUCCUCCAGCCUGAAGGCACCUCUAUCUGUGCAUUUUAGAAGGGUUCUUCUGGACCUAUGACUGCUGCAGUAAAGGAAGAGAAUGGGAUUUUUAGCUUUCCAGAAUGUAACCAACAUAUAGAGCUCUGCAAUUCAGAGUCAAUACCUAAAGUGAUGCUAUAAGCAAUAAAUUGCGAGUAUUUCUAGAGAGCAGCAGGUUUCUGGAAGCUCUACCAAAGAGUUUUCCCCUCUUUUUAACAUCCAAAAGUGGGGAGAGGUCUAUUCUGUGCUGCUAUGAGGAGUAGUAAAAGACUUCAAUCAGUAGUCACGUUCAAAUUCAAACUUCACAAACUUUUAGGGAAUCCAACCUUAUUAUUCUGUAUGGUGUAUCACGUGCGUGGCUAACAACCACAGCCAAAACUUCCAAAAUUUGGUGAAAAGCAAGCUGAGUAUCUUGGAUAGGACCUGCCUUUUGUUGCCAUGAUAGGUCAUGCUAUAUGGAAGUGUCCCAUGAGUUAUCUCAAGAUACAGUUUCCUGUGCUGUACAGGCUGGUAAGAAAAGACAUUAUUGGAAUAGAUAGAACUCUCUUUGAAUACAUCAGCAUAAACUCACUAAGGACUUAUCUGCAUGCUAACUUCUGGAAGAGCAAGUAACUAAUCCUGAUACUUCUAAUUAAAUCGGCAGCUCUUUAUGAUUUAACCAUAGCACAUCUACUUAGGCCUUCUCAGUUUUAUCUGUUCAGAGAGAAAGCGUGAGAUUGAAGUACCAUUUACAUUCCGCAGUUGUGGAUUAGGUCCAAACAGCAGAAUUCAACUUUAUUCUGAAGAAUUUCUCUUAGCACAGAUCUCACGAAGAUGCCUGACAGAGAUGCACUGUAAACAGUUACUGAACCUCAACCUGUCUUGAAAGCUGCCAUGAUUCCAAGAAAAGCUUUGGAAUACAUGAAUUGCCUCACUGUGUCCCACAGCUUUUCAUGUGUACAUCUGAUAUGAGCACCAGUCCCACCCUCACGUUUCUAUUUCUCAAUUACCCUGCAUUUUAUCUAGUGCUUUUACCAAUGACUUCAUGUGAAAUAUUUCUGAUGGAAUAACGAAAACAAAACUGGGAUCCCCUCCUCCUCUAUUUCUGCUGCUUAUUAACCCAAGGUGAUUUAGGAUGUCCUUGAGUCUUACAGCAAUUGAAAUUUAUUUCAGGAGCCAUGUGCUUAGGGACAUGUGGAAGAGGUUAUUUAUUCUAAAGAGCCAUCCAGCAAUGAUGAUGUCAUAGGGGCCAGCAAAAUACCGUAUCAAUUCAGUUAGUGUGCUACCAAAUCAUUGCCUGCAGUUUUCCUAUGUGUGAUGGCACCUGCUGAUAUACAGGGUGUCUGAAUAUAACUGGCAUAUAUAUUGCUUCAUUUUAAUAAAUGCUUAAAAAUAGCUUUUGUCCUUAUAAUAUUGGCCUUCUAUAAACCCCUGCUAGUAAACUUUUGCAGUUUUAUUUGCAACAGGCAAAAAUCUAUUGUAAACAAGUUCCUUCUCAACACAAAAUGAAAUGCAGUCCAGUUAUGGCAAGUUGAACUCCCAUAAAACUCUUUCCUUCCUUUGUAUAUACAAAUGACAGAUUUGU
ensembl:lncRNA